UACAGAGGUCUCAAGCGUUAUUCGGAUUCAUUGGGCGUAAAGGGUGCGUAGGCGGCGUGGUAAGUCGGAUGUGAAAUCUCGGAGCUUAACUCCGAAACUGCAUUCGAUACUGCCGUGCUUGAGGACUGGAGAGGAGACUGGAAUUUACGGUGUAGCGGUGAAAUGCGUAGAUAUCGUAAUGAAGACCAGUGGCGAAGGCGGGUCUCUGGACAGUUCCUGACGCUGAGGCACGAAGGCCAGGGGAGCAAACGGG
rnacentral:rRNA from 1 species